rnacentral:rRNA from 1 species
UAUGUGAUCGUCUCUUGCAUAUCAAUAAGCGGAGGAAAAGAAACUAACAAGGAUUCCCCUAGUAACGGCGAGUGAAGCGGGAAGAGCUCAAAUUUGAAAUCUUAAAGGGUUUCCCUUUACGAAUUGUAGUUUAAAGAAGUGUUUUCUGUUGAGGUUUUGGUAAAAGUUCUUUGGAAUAGGACAUCAUAGAGGGUGAGAAUCCCGUAUUUGACCUUUACUUUCAACUUUGUGAUACACUUUCAAAGAGUCGGAUUGUUUGGGAAUGCAGUCCAAAAUGGGUGGUAAGUUUCAUCUAAAGCUAAAUAUUGGCGAGAGACCGAUAGCGAACAAGUACCGUGAGGGAAAGAUGAAAAGAACUUUGAAAGGAGAGUUAAACAGUACGUGAAAUUGUCAAAAGGGAAGCGUUUGACACCAGUGUUGUUUUUCUGAAAAUCAAUUAAAGAACUGUUUAUGCUAAGCUGUUUAGACUUUAUCAGCUAUCUGUUUAGUUUUGAGCUUUUCUUUAAUGCACUUUUCAGUUAACAAGUCAACAUCAAUUUCUUUUGCUGUAAAAAAGCUUGAGGAAGGUGGCUUGAGAUUCGUCUUAAGUGUUUAUAGCCUCUUGCCUAUGCAGUCGGAGAGAUUGAGGUCUGCAGCGUAGAUCCUUCGGGGCUAAAUGCAUUUGUGCUAAGUUAUAAGCAUUUUAUAGACAACUUGUUGACUAUGAUUUGUCUUGUAGCUUACUCGCUUAUGUUAUUUUACCUACGCUUAGGAUGUUGAACGCGCACAGAGUCUC